rnacentral:rRNA from 1 species
UACGGAGGGUGCAAGCGUUAUCCGGAUUCACUGGGUUUAAAGGGUGCGUAGGUGGGUCUGUAAGUCAGUGGUGAAAUCCCCGAGCUUAACUUGGGAACUGCCAUUGAUACUAUAGCUCUUGAAUACUGUGGAGGUCAGCGGAAUAUGUCAUGUAGCGGUGAAAUGCUUAGAUAUGACAUAGAACACCAAUUGCGAAGGCAGCUGGCUACACAAAUAUUGACACUGAGGCACGAAAGCGUGGGGAUCAAGCAGG